rnacentral:rRNA from 1 species
AUUGAACGCUGGCGGAAUGCUUUACACAUGCAAGUCGAACGGCAGCACGGGGGCAACCCUGGUGGCGAGUGGCGAACGGGUGAGUAAUACAUCGGAACGUGCCCAGUCGUGGGGGAUAACUACGCGAAAGCGUGGCUAAUACCGCAUACGAACUCAGGUUGAAAGCGGGGGAUCGCAAGACCUCGCGCGAUUGGAGCGGCCGAUGGCAGAUUAGGUAGUUGGUGGGGUAAAGGCUCACCAAGGCGACGAUCUGUAGCUGGUCUGAGAGGACGACCAGCCACACUGGGACUGAGACACGGCCCAGACUCCUACGGGAGGCAGCAGUGGGGAAUUUUGGACAAUGGGCGCAAGCCUGAUCCAGCCAUUCCGCGUGCAGGAUGAAGGCCCUCGGGUUGUAAACUGCUUUUGUACGGAACGAAACGCGCCGGGCUAAUACCCUGGCGUAAUGACGGUACCGUAAGAAUAAGCACCGGCUAACUACGUGCCAGCCGCCGCGGUAAUAC